rnacentral:lncRNA from 1 species
GUUCCUAGCCCUUUACACAUAGUUUCUAGGCGUCAUUCAGCAGCAACACCAAAUGUAAUCUACACGGGGGCGGGGCUGACACCUUGGACAGCUUUAGUCUGUGUGGGGACGAGGCAAACGGGGUUAAGUGACUUGCCCAGGGUCACAUAGCCAAUAGGAGUCCAAGACCAGAUUUGAACUAAGGAAAAGGAACCUUCCUGAUUCCAAGAUCAAUGCUCUAUACACUGUGCCAUCUGGAUGAUGUGAACAGAGGUGCAGUGAUUUACCCAGUCAGUCAAAUUGCUCUAAAGAUGGGUUUUUAACCUGGAUCCUCUGACUGCCAGAACCGAUGUUCCACUUGUCUCCCACUGAACAGUGAAGGACUUUGAGUCUACAUCAUAGGAGGAUGGGUUGAAGAAACCGGAAGUGUUUCGACAGAAGACUUAGGAGGGACAGAAUAUUGGAUAUGUUCUAGUAGAGUUUCAUUCCCAGUGUGGGCUGUAGCAGCUCCAUACAGAGGUGGAGAGGCAGCUACGUGGUACAGAGGAUAGAAUGCUAGGUCUGGGUAAGAAAGAUCUGAGUUCAAAACUGGCCUUAGAUACUUCCUAGCUGUGUGACCCUAGGUGUCAUUGUUUUGCCUCAGUUUCUUUAACUAUAAAAUGGGGAUAAUAAUAGUACCU